AGUAUCACGUGUGAGUAUUUUUAAUAGUGUGUUUAAUUAAUUCUCGAUUUUGAAGCGAAGAAGAAAAAAGUUGUUUGUGAGCCUUUAUUGUGAAAUAUCAAAUAAUACAAUGCCUAGACGUAAAAGAGGAGGAGAUCUUGCCGGUUCUGCAGCGAAACGGCGGAAACAAAAAGAAUAUCGAAGAAAUGAAACGGAAGAAGAGCACGAAGCACGUUUACAAAAUCAACGAACCAGAAUGAGCACCCUGAGAAGUAGAAAAAGCGAAGAAAGAAAAGAAAAUAAAAGUAUUGAAGAAUCGAGAAUUUUAAAAGAUAAUCUAACAAAGGAGGCAUGAACUUAUUUCUGAAAAGAACAAAGGACACCCAGUAUUUAUACCUAGAAUACCACUGAUCUCUUCUGAAUUGCCAUUUCAAUUUAAAAGAUCGUAGUUUCCAAUUAAAUUAGCCUUUAGUUUUACAAUUAACAAAGUGCAAGGGCAAACUUUAAAAUAUUGUGGCAUCAACCUCAAAGAAUCCUGCUUCUCUCACGAUCAGCUAUAUGUAGCUUGCUCAAGAGUAGGAAAUUCGAAAAAUUUAUAUGUAUAUACAUAUAUAUAUAUAUAUAUAUAUAUAUAUAUAUACCCCGGCCAAUAAAAUGAAAAAUGAUGUUUAUAAACAAGUAGUGUAAAUAAUGAGAAAAUGUCUUCAAUAUUUUUUUUUUUACUUUUUACGUCAUA